rnacentral:rRNA from 1 species
UACGAAGGGGGCUAGCGUUGCUCGGAAUCACUGGGCGUAAAGCGCACGUAGGCGGCUUGUUAAGUCAGGGGUGAAAUCCUGGAGCUCAACUCCAGAACUGCCUUUGAUACUGGCGAGCUUGAGUCCGGGAGAGGUGAGUGGAACUGCGAGUGUAGAGGUGAAAUUCGUAGAUAUUCGCAAGAACACCAGUGGCGAAGGCGGCUCACUGGCCCGGUACUGACGCUGAGGUGCGAAAGCGUGAGGAGCAAACAGG